ACUUUAGUUCUAGGAAGUCAGCGUGAAACGCCUGAAGUUUUCUGCCUCCAGACUCUACUCUCCUGCCUCAAUUCUACUCUCUACUUUUAUAAGCUCGACUCACAUUUGAUGACAUAGAAGACUUAAUUUCCUCCUCAUGAUUAAUCUCUCAGUUGGAGAGUAUACACACUCUUACACAGAAUCCAGGACGAAAGCCCUCAUCAGAUGCUUACAUCAUGAUCUUGGACUUCCCAGCCUCCAGACUGAUGCUAUGGAAGAUCAGAAAAUAUAAAUUUAUGAACUGCUAUAAACUGUUAUUUUCUUCGUGAAGAUCAGCCUCCAGGUUCAUCACAUGACUCAGCUAAGAGAAAAUAUCCAGUGGCUCAUCGUUACCUGUGGGAGGAGGUCUGAACUCCAUGGCUUUGCAUUCAUGUUCUUGUUUGUCUCACUUCAACCUUCAUUCCCUCCAAGUCCUCGUUGUCCUCCCAGGGUUCCUCUGCUACAGCCGGGGGAGUCUGAUCCCUGCUUCCUAAAUUUCUCUGAAGCUUAUCUACACCUAUGUUUUUGCUCCACUCUUCUUUCUCCUUUAUACACCAAUUAUUCUCCUGUUUUAUCCAAAUUAUUCCCUUCUGCAAGACUCACAUCAAGUACGAUUUCUUUCUAGAUGGCUCUAACUCAGUUAUUGUUAUCUAAUUGCACACAUAUCUCUGAUUAUUGGCAUUAGUCAUUUGGAAAUUUAUUGUAUGCUGCUUUGUUUUAUUAUUUCUCUUUUUCACCUGCCUUGUGCUUACUUCCCCAAUUGGACUACAGAUUCUUUAAGGAUUAGAAGGCUAAUAUACCUACUUUUUGUCUCUAUAGCAUCUAAAACAGUAAUCUGCAGAUAUUAGGUAUUCAGAAUAUAAUUCAAUCUAGAAUCAUUUGGGAAGUUUAAUUUUUAAAGAACUCUGAAUCAUUUUUCUCAAAACUGUCAUAUAAUGCUAAAUUUUCAUUUCAGGUUCUGAGAGAUUCUUUUCUUUUAAGCCCAGCAUUUAUGACUUUCAAAUUUUAAUAAAUAGAACGCCCAAAGUUAGUCAACAGAAACGUCCUAAGUUAACGUGGGUGACCUAAGUUCCUUUGCUGUAUUUUGUACACGUUUUAUAUAUUGCAUCAAGAAAAGCAAAUGAUUGCUGAAAUGAGUAAUAAGGAGCUUCACUGGCUAGUCAAUCUUAUUCCGGAAGCAAAAACUUCCACGCAAGGCUCAUUUACAUGUGCACACUGCAAAAGGAAGUUUUGGGCAAAAUGUCUGCAGACUCUGUUCAACAUGCGUGUCCCACUUAACCACAUGAUCCUUAUAAAACCACCUAUAUCCGUUCUCAUA
ensembl:lncRNA novel transcript